GGGUCGGGCGUCCUCCGAGGUGACGAGCGCGGGGCUGGGUGGCCGCCCUGGGCCUCUCGGGGAAGGUCAACACGUGCAGCUGCGCAGAGCCUCUCUUCCAGCUCUUUCUCCCUUUCUUGGGAAGAGGCUGAGCUCCCUGGGGCGCCACGUUCCUACCUCCAUGGUCCAGUGUUAGACUAGACGUGUUGCUUGCACGAGACACUUUUCGUUUUCAGAACGUCUCCUCUCCGUCAUCGGGGCCAAUCCAAACUCCGUGAGGUCGUGUCCUAUUCUCCUAAGGUCGUAAAAGAAGCUCUGAAAUUUAAAGGCGUCCCUGAUAAUGCCAGCUGGCCCAACAGGGUUUCACUGCAGACGCCCGGCCGGGUCACGUGUUUACCUGGACGCCCUUUGCAGGGAGCUCAGUGCCCCCAAGGGACACGCAGUGGGCUCCUUAGUCCACAGACGCGACAGCGAGGCCUACGUCUCACACGGCGGCCUCGGACCCGUGUCGCCGCUCCUGGACGAGGAGGCCCAUCCUGGGGAUUUGCUUCGACGGCCGGGAGUGUGAGACGCCCCAGGCGGAGCUCAGACGUGGGGGAACCCCUGGGUGGCUCAGCGGUUCAGCAUCUGCCUUCAGCUCAGGGCGUGACCCCGGGGUCCUGGGAUCGAGUCCCGCGUUGGGCUUCCUGCAGGGUGCCUGCUUCUC